rnacentral:rRNA from 1 species
UGGGGAAUCUUAGACAAUGGGGGAAACCCUGAUCUAGCCAUGCCGCGUGAGCGAUGAGGGCCUUAGGGUUGUAAAGCUCUUUCAGCUGGGAAGAUAAUGACGGUACCAGCAGAAGAAGCCCCGGCUAACUCCGUGCCAGCAGCCGCGGUAAUACGGAGGGGGCUAGCGUUGUUCGGAAUUACUGGGCGUAAAGCGCACGUAGGCGGAUUAGUCAGUCAGAGGUGAAAUCCCAGGGCUCAACCCUGGAACUGCCUUUGAUACUGCUAGUCUUGAGGUCGAGAGAGGUGAGUGGAAUUCCGAGUGUAGAGGUGAAAUUCGUAGAUAUUCGGAGGAACACCAGUGGCGAAGGCGGCUCACUGGCUCGAUACUGACGCUGAGGUGCGAAAGCGUGGGGAGCAAACAGAUUAGAUACCCUGGUAGUCCACGCCGUAAACG